rnacentral:rRNA from 1 species
GACAGAGGGUGCAACCGUUGCUCGGAAUUACUGGGCGUAAAGCGCGUGUAGGCGGGCCGGAAAGUCGGGCGUGAAAUCCCUGGGCUCAACCCAGGAACUGCACUCGAAACUUCCGGUCUAGAAUUGUGGAGAGGUAAGUGGAAUUCCGAGUGUAGAGGUGAAAUUCGUAGAUAUUCGGAAGAACACCAGUGGCGAAGGCGACUUACUGGACACAUAUUGACGCUGAGGUGCGAAAGCGUGGGGAGCAAACAGG